rnacentral:rRNA from 1 species
AACGAACGCUGGCGGCAUGCCUAACACAUGCAAGUCGAACGAGACCUUCGGGUCUAGUGGCGCACGGGUGCGUAACGCGUGGGAACCUGCCCUUAGGUUCGGAAUAACUCCCGAAAGGGGUUGCUAUUACGGGUUAUUGUCUUCGGACAAAGAUUUAUUGGCCUUGGAUGGGCCCGCCUUUGAUUAGCCAGUUGGUAGGGUAAAAGCCUACCAAGGCGACGAUCCAUAGCUGGUCUGAGAGGAUGAUCAGCCACACUGGGACUGAGACACGGCCCAGACUCCUACGGGAGGCAGCAGUGGGGAAUAUUGGACAAUGGGCGAAAGCCUGAUCCAGCAAUGCCGCGUGAGUGAUGAAGGCCUUAGGGUUGUAAAGCUCUUUUACCCGGGAUGAUAAUGACAGUACCGGGAGAAUAAGCUCCGGCUAACUCCGUG